UAACUGAAGAGUUUGAUCAUGGCUCAGAUUGAACGCUGGCGGCAGGCUUAACACAUGCAAGUCGAGCGGGGGAAGGUAGCUUGCUACCGGACCUAGCGGCGGACGGGUGAGUAAUGCUUAGGAAUCUGCCUAUUAGUGGGGGACAACAUCUCGAAAGGGAUGCUAAUACCGCAUACGUCCUACGGGAGAAAGCAGGGGAUCUUCGGACCUUG
rnacentral:rRNA from 1 species